AAGGUUUGACAUGGAUCUGCAAGCGGUAGAAAUAUCGUCGCCUUCGAGGGUGAUCCACAGGUGGUGCAUGGCUGUCGUCAGCUCGUGUUGUGAAAUGUUGGGUUAAGUCCCGCAACGAGCGCAACCCUCAUGUUCUGUUGCCAGCGGGUAAUGCCGGGAACUCGGAACAAACUGCCUCUGUAAAGAGGAGGAAGGUGGGGAUGACGUGCCAGUAUCGGAA
rnacentral:misc_RNA from 1 species